GAUGAAGAACGUAGCGAAAUGCGAUAAGUAAUGUGAAUUGCAGAAUUCAGUGAAUCAUCGAAUCUUUGAACGCACCUUGCGCCCUUUGGCUAUUCUGAAGGGCAUGCCUGUUUGAGUAUCAUGAACACCUCAACUCUCAUGGUCCGCCAUGAUGAGCUUGGACUUUGGGGGUCUUGCCGGCCGAUCGCCGGCUCCUCUCAAAUGAAUCAGCUUGCCAGUGUUUGGUGGCAUCACGGGUGUGAUAACUAUCUACGCUUGUGGUUUUUCCACCAGGUAACCUUCAGCAGUGGAGGUUCGCUGGAGCUCAUAGAUGUCUCUCCUCAGUGAGGACAGCCCUUUGAAUGUUUGAUCUCAAAUCAGGUAGGACUACCCGCUGAACUUAAGCAUAUCAAUAAGCGGAGGA
rnacentral:misc_RNA from 1 species